CACUCACUACUCAGUCAGAAGUGCACUACUUUGUGCAUUAUAUAGGGAAUAAGGCACCAUUUUGGACGCGAACUGGCACUACUUAACAAUGGAUUGAGGAUUCAAUUGGUUGAUAUUGGAACAGGUCUUUACAUGGUAAAGGUAGACAGUUAGGGGAACAAGUCUUUACAUGGUAAAGGUAGACAGUUAGGUGAACUCACUUCAUUCACAGGGGAACAAGUCUUUACAUGGUAAAGGUAGACAGUCAGGGGAACAAGCAUCACCCACCUGGAUAUGUACUGGACUACAGUAAGAUGACAAACACAGCAUCAAAUCAACUUUGGACAUUUUCUGUUAUUUUUAUAAAGAAAGUCCACUUUCUGUUUUCCGCCAGGGAUUGAUUGGACAUUGUGGGGACGACGCAGAGAGACUUUUGAGGAGUGGAACUGAAUGGAACAAACAGUAUUAACGAAACAAGACACCUUGGAAUCAUAGAUCAUGAAACAACACCAGGAGGACCUUUCUUUGGGCCCAGAGUGUUGUUUCAGGUGAAUGAAGAAGGAGAGGAGGAGGAAGAUGAGGAGGAGGAAGAUAUUUCUACAGUAUUAAGUAAUAAUGAGCUCAAUUCAAUCAAAUUCGCCUUCCGGUAUUUACGCAGUAGUUGUUUAUUUUACCCUUAGUCAAAUGAUCAAAUGACAUGACAGAAUAGUUAUAGGGGUGAUGUAAACACCUACCACUGACAGGUAGACUCCACGGCCAGGUAGACUCCACGGCCAGGUAGACUCCACGGCCAGGUAGACUCCACGGCCAGGUAGACUCCACGGACAGGUAGACUCCACGGACAGGUAGACUCCAUGGCCAGGUAGACACUACGGCCAGGUAGACACCACGGCCAGGUAGACACCACGGCCAGGUAGACACCACAGCCAGGUAGACACCACAGCCAGGUAGACUCCACAGCCAGGUAGACACCACAGCCAGGUAGACUCCACAGCCAGGUAGACUCCACGGACAGGUAGACACCACGGACAGGUAGACACCACAGCCAGGUAGACUCCACAGCCAGGUAGACACCACAGCCAGGUAGACUCCACAGCCAGGUAGACUCCACGGACAGGUAGACUCCACGGACAGGUAGACUCCACGGCCAGGUAGACUCCACGGCCAGGUAGACACCACGGCCAGGUAGACUCCACGGCCAGGUAGACUCCACGGCCAGGUAGACUCCACGGCCAGGUAGACUCCACAGCCAGGUAGACACCACAGCCAGGUAGACUCAAAUGGUUUAGACUCCACAGCCAGGUAGACUCCACAGCCAGGUAGACUCCACAGCCAGGUAGAUGCUUCCAGCUCACAGACGUUUGGGUACGUGAAGACACUGUGUAAACAUUUCUAAAUGCAAGUUUGCUUGAAUACCAGCCCAUGUGUCACUAUUGAAGAGGAAUUGGGAGAGGGGUUAAACAUCCCCACAGAGUUUAAUAAACAACAUCCAUCUGGUUUUGUAGUACUAUAUAGAUCUGUAACUAUCUUUUUUUAGUUUUCACUACAGACUUGUGACUUUGUCUCGUCCUACGGAUGGUUACAACAAAUUUAUUUUGUAUUGUAGUUUUUGUUUUGUUGUUUUUGUUAAAGCUGUGUUACUGUUUUAAUGUGUACAAUCAACUCAAGUCAAAUGGUUUACAGUUGACUUUACACCCCCCGUUAUCCACGUGUCACUCACUCCUCUGUCAUGUUUGUGUUCCUGCAGUCUCUCUCUCUAUUUAACUCUAUCAAUCCUUACUGGGUUGCUGGACUCUCGUCUUCUCAUUAUCUCAUAAUCAUAAGUGGGGCUAGGAGUAUUUCAUUUCCUGACCAUGUGACCUGACCAGGAGAAACUCUAAACUCCUAGCCCUAAUCCUCAGUACCAAGGCCAAUACAUGGCAGCCAUUUUGA
ensembl:lncRNA